rnacentral:rRNA from 1 species
GACGAACGCUGGCGGCGUGCCUAAUACAUGCAAGUCGAACGCAGUGGGGACGGGUGAGGAACACGUGGGUAACCUCCCAUCAGAGGGGAUAACACUUGGAAACAGGUGCUAAACCGAUACUGAUGGAUGGACCCGCGGUGCAUUAGCUAGUUGGUGAGGUAACGGCUCACCAAGGCAACGAUGACUAGGACAACUGCGAGGGUGAUCGGCCACACUGGGAAUGAGACACGGCCCAGACUCCUACGGGAGGCAGCAGGAGGGAAUCAUCGGCAAUGGACGAAAGUCUGACCGAGCAACGCCGCGUGAGUGAAGAAGGUUUUCGGAUCGUAAAACUCUCUUGUUAGAGAAGCGGUAUCUAACCAGAAAGCCACAGCCAACUACAGGCCAGCCGCAGCGGUAAUUC